UACGGGGGGGGCAAGCGUUGUUCGGAAUUACUGGGCGUAAAGGGCUCGUAGGUGGCCAACUAAGUCAGACGUGAAAUCCCUCGGCUUAACCGGGGAACUGCGCCUGAUACUGGAUGGCUUGAGUUUGGGAGAGGGACGCGGAAUUCCAGGUGUAGCGGUGAAAUGCGUAGAUAUCGAGAGGAACACCAGUGGCGAAGGCGAGUCUCUGGACGACACCUGACACUGAGGCACGAAAGCUAGGGGAGCAAACAGG
rnacentral:rRNA from 1 species